AGGACCUGACACUCUGGCAGAGUCCAGGACAUUCAGGAAGACAAAGAUGGUGAGAUCACAGGCCCUAGGAGUGUUAUGUGUUUGACAACAUGCCAAAGGCCUAAACUGUACACUCCCCCUGUGCUGGUGAUGGGAAAGUAAGAAGACGAGGAGGCCAACCUGAUAGAUGGACAAUGUAGGAAUCCCAGAAGCAAGAGGCCUUGUUCCUGCAUGGGGAUCCACCAUUCUUUGCAUAUGCAUGUUGAGUUUCUAAGCAGAUGUCUCCAACUAUGAUUCUGACCUUCAAAAAAGCAGUUGAAUGUCAUGAGGCUUUCCUGACAAAAAAAGCACAGGCUGGAGCCAAAAUCCUGAUGCUAUGCACCAAAUCCCUUUCCUGUUUGGGGCUACUGAGGACAAUCUGAACUAAAAGUCUGGACCUGCUUUCUCAGUGAAGGCACAACCUCUUGAACUCUCUGACUUUUGAACUGUAGUUGUACCUACUGCUGCUUGUGAUCCAAAAAUCUAAUUCAAUAUGUGAACAUAUAAGCUUCCAACCUCCAAUCUGGAUCAUUCUGUCCCAGAGAGGACAAUGUGUGUACUUGAAAAGAAAGACCAGAUCCUGGUGCUUUCCCACGAGAAGUUUCUGAAUGUGGCUACCUGGAAGGACAACCGAAAGCCUCUCUCAGCCACAGAGGAGGGCACUAUCAAUAAGUCAAUCAACCUUAUCUGCAUCGUCACAAGCAUCUGAAAUAUGGAGGUCUGGUAAA